ACUGCUCAGUAACACGUAGCUAACCUACCCUUAGGACGUGGACAACCCCGAGAAAUUGGGGCUAACCCGCGAUAGAUGUAUUGUCCUGGAAUGGUAUUACGUCUAAAGGUAUCCCAUACAUGUUUGGUAUAUGCCUAAGGAUGGGGCUGCGGCCGAUCAGGCUGUUGGUGAGGUAAUGGCUCACCAAACCUUUGACCGGUACGGGCCAUGAGAGUGGUAGCCCGGAGAUGGACACUGAGACAAGGGUCCAGGCCCUACGGGGCGCAGCAGGCGCGAAACCUCCUCAAUGCACUUACGUGCGAAGGGGCUACCUCGAGUGCCACCUGAUGAAGGUGGCUUUUCCUAGGUCUAAAAAGCCUUGGGAAUAAGAGGGGGGCAAGACUGGUGUCAGCCGCCGCGGUAACACCAGCCCCUCGAGUGGUGGGGAUGAUUAUUGGGCCUAAAGCGUCCGUAGCCUGCCGUGUAAGUUUCCCGUUAAAUCCAGCGUCUUAAGCGUUGGACUGCGGGAAAUACUGUACGGCUAGAGAGUGGGAGAGGUCAGCGGUAUUCUGGGGGUAGGGGCGAAAUCCUUUGAUCCCCGGAGGACCACCAGUGGCGAAGGCUGCUGUCUAGAACACGUCUGACGGUCAGGGACGAAAGCUGGGGUAGCGAACCGGAUUAGAUACCCGGGUAGUCCCAGCCGUAAACGAUGCAUGCUAGGUGUUGGGUUGGCCACGCGCCACCCCAGUGCCGCAGGGAAGCCGUUAAGCAUGCCGCCUGGGAAGUACGAUCGCAAGGUUGAAACUUAAAGGAAUUGGCGGGGGAGCACCACCAGGCGUGAAGCCUGCGGUUUAAUUGGAUUCAACGCCGGG
rnacentral:rRNA from 1 species